UACGUAGGGGGCAAGCGUUGUCCGGAAUCAUUGGGCGUAAAGCGCGUGUAGGCGGUCCGGUAAGUCCGCUGUGAAAGUCGGGGGCUCAACCCUCGGAUGCCGGUGGAUACUGUCGGGCUUGAGUACGGAAGAGGCGAGUGGAAUUCCUGGUGUAGCGGUGAAAUGCGCAGAUAUCAGGAGGAACACUAAUUGCGAAGGCAGCUCGCUGGGACGUUACUGACGCUGAGACGCGAAAGCGUGGGGAGCAAACAGG
rnacentral:rRNA from 1 species